GCGAUCCCCUUCAUGCCGAUGUGUAGUUGUUUCAGUUCGUUGUCUUCUCAUCGUACGUGAACUUAGAUCUGCUGGAGCAUCGUUGAAAGGUGGGUUCUCUAGGAUGGGAACAUACAUGGAUCGUGUCAAGUAUCGCUUCUCUAGUAAGCGUUUCCAUAAAGUGAUUCAUUCCCUUUCUGAAGAUCAAAAAGGGUUCUUGGAGAAGUAUGGUCUUGAAAGGUUUUUAGGUUUUCAGAAGUUCAAUGUCCCCAUGCCUUUCCUUGAAUGGGUCAUGGGCCAGGUUGUGGUCGAUCUUUCUGAGUUCAAGCACAG